GACCUGUUUGUGGACUUAGUGACGCCGGGGACCCGCAGCCCGAAGACGCGCGGCGCAGGUGAGUGUGGAAUGCCCUUCUUAGACCCCUGGGCAGGGGAGAACGCGAGUGUUCCGGUGACCACCCCAAGGGCAAACCUCUGUGCAUCAGAGUUUAUAUUUCACACAUGCAGUCAAGAAAGAGGAAGAAGCUAUGGAGUGGUGCAGACUUUCCUUGCUCUUUCCUAUGGAGGGCAGAAGAGGAAAGGAAUGGAGCUGUAAUGACAUUAUAUGGGGGACCUUUGCAGCGUACUAUCAAGAAGAAGCACAGGAUGCGAAAGUGGAGAUUUUGGUGAGAUGAAACAAACUCGCACGUUUGUUUGCAUGCGCAGUCUGCUCU